CUCCAUCCCCCUUUUACUUCUCUCUCCCCCGUCUCUCCUCCCUCCCGCCUCCUUUCUCCCUCUCCCCCUCCCUCUCUCCUCUGAAUAAGCAAGCUUUUGCCUCUAAAAGUCACAAGUAAUCCUCGUGUGUGACAGAGAGAGAGAGAGAGAGAGAGAGAGAGAGAGAGAGAGAAACGAGCUGGCGGAGAGGAGCAGAAGGCAGGAGGGGAAAUCUGGCACAACGGCUGGGAGAGGAAACUUGAUGCUUCUGGGCCACCAUUUGCCAGGGCCUCGCUCGAGCCGGCGCCUCGGUUCCUGCCCAGCUGGAUUUGGGGGGCAGCAUUGCCUGGCGCAGGGAGAUCAAAUGAGACUGCAAAGAAGCAUAAAAUGAAUAGACAAUCCAACCAACCAAAGACCGGGGGCAGCAGCAGGCCAGCAAGACGGCAUCUUCUCCUUCCCAGCCUAGAAGCCCUGUGAAAUCGAGGAUCUUCCCCCUAAAACACAUACACACAAGAUAUGUGCAAUCAAGCUGCCACCGCUUGGUAAAAAGCCAUGGUGCCUAACCAAAAAGGAUCAGGAACAGAUCCUUGAAUCAGCUGUCACUUCUAUAGAAUGGGAUUUUUUUUUCCUUCCUCCUUAACCUGCGCUGGAAAUUGCCGUUGGCUUUAUACAUCUCUAUAGAGAGAGGCUAAAGAGUCUUGCGUGAGAAAGAAGCAAUUUACAAUGCAAAUAGAGGCCUGUGAAGGGACGGAUGCUGCUGCUCACUCGUAACAGCUUGCUGCACCUUAAUAGCUGGUUUUAUUUUCUGAUAUUAAUAGAUGAAUUGUUGGCUAACGCUGCCGGAGAUUACUUGCUGAAAGGAAAAAGAAAAGUUCGGAAUAAACUCUGAAGGCAACAGAUCUCGUUUGGAUGUUUUAGCCGCGCACACACACAAACAGAAACCAGGUCAUAUUUACAUAAAAGGAGGAAUCUUAAGCGCGGCAAGUAUCCUGGACGACCACUCUUCGGUACUGCCAGAAAGGAUCAGGACCUGGAGUCUGGCAAGAGGAAGACAGAGGCCUGUGUGGGAAGCGAGUUGUUAUCUUUGGUUAUCUAGCUGUAUGAGUGUAUUGGUCUUCAUAAAGCUAGAUAACCGAAAGUAAAAACUCCUUCAAGAUCGCCGGGGAGCGUGUGAGAAUGAAAGACUACAGCCGAGAGACAGUAAAAACCAGAAAGGUCAGGAAUACUUAUUGAAUCUAACUUUGUUUUUGUUUUGUUUUUUUCCUUAUGAUUAAAGGUGGGAUGAGAGAAAAUUAAAUGACACACACAUGCUAAAAUAUCAAGGUUCCAGAUAUGUCUUGAGAGGGGUUGUUGCAGCUGCAAAGGAGAAGUGUAUAGUGAUAAUGAGUAAAGAUGCAUGUGCAGUUUGUUCUAUUUUAAGGCAAAAGUUAUAUCAGGGAUUUUUUUCUUAGAAAGGUGUUGCAGAGAUGUCUGGUACCUAGUUUAAAAAUGAUUCCAUAAUAUGUAGACUUGGGCAGUUCCUUUGGGAGGCACCUCCCUCUCAAAAUUUGAAGAUUGUGCUUGGAAAUUACUUUACAUGUAUUUGGGCUGUAUGUCAAUUUGUACGAAAUUAGACUUUCAGAAAAGUUUAUACUGGAAGGUUAAUAAUUUGUAUCUACUGAGGACUUAGAGCUAGCAGGCAAAAU
rnacentral:lncRNA from 1 species